rnacentral:rRNA from 1 species
GGGCCAGUAGGUUGGUCGUGCCACCGGUACGUACUGGUCUCACUGAUUCCUCCUUCCUGAAGAACCGUAAUGCCAUUAAUUUGGUGUUGCGGGGAAACAGGACUGUUACUUUGAAAAGAUUAGAGUGUUUAAAGCAAGCUAACGCUUGAAUACAUUAGCAUGGAAUAAUGAAAUAGGACGAUCGAUCCUAUUUUGUUGGUUUCUAGGAUUGACGUA